rnacentral:rRNA from 1 species
AAGUCGUAACAAGGUUUCCGUAGGUGAACCUGCGGAAGGAUCAUUAAAGUUAUAGUCCCCUGGCCUUCUGGCUAGGGUCUUCUAUACCACCCUUUGUUUAUUACACCUUUGUUGCUUUGGCAGGCCUGCCCUCGGGCUGCUGGCUCCGGCCGGCGAGCGCCUGCCAGAGGNCCUAAACUCUGUUUGUCUAUAAUGUCUGAGUACUAUAUAAUAGUUAAAACUUUCAACAACGGAUCUCUUGGUUCUGGCAUCGAUGAAGAACGCAGCGAAAUGCGAUAAGUAAUGUGAAUUGCAGAAUUCAGUGAAUCAUCGAAUCUUUGAACGCACAUUGCGCUCCCUGGUAUUCCGGGGAGCAUGCCUGUUCGAGCGUCAUUACAACCCUCAAGCUCUGCUUGGUGUUGGGCCCCGCCGCCCCGGCGGGCCCUAAAGUCAGUGGCGGUGCCGUCCGGCUCCGAGCGUAGUAAUUUUUCUCGCUUUGGAGGCCCGGGCGCGUGCUCGCCAUCAACCCCCAAUUUUUUUCAGGUUGACCUCGGAUCAGGUAGGGAUACCCGCUGAACUUAAGCAUAUCAAUAAGCGGAGGAAAAGAAACCAACAGGGAUUACCUCAGUAACGGCGAGUGAAGCGGUAACAGCUCAAAUUUGAAAUCUGGCCUCACGGUCCGAGUUGUAAUUUGUAGAGGAUGCUUCGAGCAUGGUCUGGCCUAAGUUCCUUGGAACAGGACGUCAUAGAGGGUGAGAAUCCCGUAUGCGGUCAGGUGCCUACGCUCAUGUGAAGCUCCUUCGACGAGUCGAGUUGUUUGGGAAUGCAGCUCAAAAUGGGUGGUAAAUUUCAUCUAAAGCUAAAUAUUGGCCAGAGACCGAUAGCGCACAAGUAGAGUGAUCGAAAGAUGAAAAGCACUUUGGAAAGAGAGUUAAACAGUACGUGAAAUUGUUGAAAGGGAAGCGCUUGCAACCAGACUUGCGCGCGGCCGAUCAUCCGGUGUUCUCACCGGUGCACUCGGCCGUGCUCAGGCCAGCAUCGGUUUUGGCGGCUGGAUAAAGGCCCCAGGAAUGUGGCUCCUCUCGGGGAGUGUUAUAGCCUGGGGUGCAAUGCAGCCUGCUGGGACCGAGGACCGCGCUUCGGCUAGGAUGCUGGCGUAAUGGUUGUAAGCGGCC